rnacentral:rRNA from 1 species
GACGAACGCUGGCGGCGUGCUUAACACAUGCAAGUCGAACGAAGAGCGACGGAAGCUUGCUUCUAUCAAUCUUAGUGGCGAACGGGUGAGUAACGCGUAAUCAACCUGCCCUUCAGAGGGGGACAACAGUUGGAAACGACUGCUAAUACCGCAUACGAUCUAAUCUCGGCAUCGAGGAUGGAUGAAAGGUGGCCUCUACAUGUAAGCUAUCACUGAAGGAGGGGAUUGCGUCUGAUUAGCUAGUGGGAGGGGUAACGGCCCACCAAGGCGAUGAUCAGUAGCCGGUCUGAGAGGAUGAACGGCCACAUUGGGACUGAGACACGGCCCAGACUCCUACGGGAGGCAGCAGUGGGGAAUCUUCCGCAAUGGACGAAAGUCUGACGGAGCAACGCCGCGUGAGUGAUGACGGCCUUCGGGUUGUAAAGCUCUGUUAAUCGGGACGAAAGGCCUUCUUGCGAAUAGUGAGAAGGAUUGACGGUACCGGAAUAGAAAGCCACGGCUAACUACGUG